rnacentral:rRNA from 1 species
AGAGUUUGAUCCUGGCUCAGGAUGAACGCUAGCUACAGGCUUAACACAUGCAAGUCGAGGGGCAUCAUGAAGGAAGCUUGCUUCCUUUGAUGGCGACCGGCGCACGAGUGAGUAACGCGUAUCCAACCUUCCCCUCAGUAGGGCAUAGCCCGUAGAAAUGCGGAUUAAUACCCUAUGUGGUCCGAUGAGGACAUCUGAGCUGGACUAAAGGUUUACCGCUGAGGGAUGGGGAUGCGUCUGAUUAGGUAGUCGGCGGGGUAACGGCCCACCGAGCCAUCGAUCAGUAGGGGUUCUGAGAGGAAGGUCCCCCACACUGGUACUGAGACACGGACCAGACUCCUACGGGAGGCAGCAGUGAGGAAUAUUGGUCAAUGGGCGAGAGCCUGAACCAGCCAAGUAGUGUGCAGGAAGACGGCCCUACGGGUUGUAAACUGCUUUUAUGCGGGGAUAAAGUUUGGGACUUGUCCCAUUUUGCAGGUACCGCAUGAAUAAGGACCGGCUAAUUCCGUGCCAGCAGCCGCGGUAAUACGGAAGGUCCAGGCGUUAUCCGGAUUUAUUGGGUUUAAAGGGAGCGCAGGCCGGUGUGUAAGCGUGACGUCAAAUACAGCCGCUCAACGGUUGUCCGCGUCGCGAACUGCACGCCUUGAGUACGCUGGAAGUGGGCGGAAUUCGUGGUAUAGCGGUGAAAUGCUUAGAUAUCACGAAGAACUCYGAUUGCGAASGCAGCCCGCUGUUGCGUCACUGACGCUGAGGCUCGAAGGUGCGGGUAUCGAACAGGAUUAGAUACYCUGRUAGUCCGCACUGUAAACGAUGGACACCCGCUGUGUGGCCUAUUUUGGUUGCGCGGCCAAGCGAAAGCAUUAAGUGUCCCACCUGGGGAGUACGCCGGCAACGGUGAAACUCAAAGGAAUUGACGGGGGCCCGCACAAGCGGAGGAACAUGUGGUUUAAUUCGAUGAUACGCGAGGAACCUUACCCGGGCUUGAAUUGCAGAGGAAUGCGGGAGAGAUCCUGCAGCCCUUCGGGGCCUCUGUGAAGGUGCUGCAUGGUUGUCGUCAGCUCGUGCCGUGAGGUGUCGGCUUAAGUGCCAUAACGAGCGCAACCCCUCUCCGUAGUUGCCAUCGGGUAAUGCCGGGCACUCUGCGGACACUGCCACCGCAAGGUGCGAGGAAGGUGGGGACGACGUCAAAUCAGCACGGCCCUUACGUCCGGGGCUACACACGUGUUACAAUGGGGCAUACAGAGAGCAUGGGCGCCGGCGACGUCGCCCGAAUCAUUAAAGUGCCCCUCAGUUCGGAUUGGGGUCUGCAACCCGACCCCAUGAAGCUGGAUUCGCUAGUAAUCGCGCAUCAGCCAUGGCGCGGUGAAUACGUUCCCGGGCCUUGUACACACCGCCCGUCAAGCCAUGAAAGCCGGGGGCGCCUGAAGUCCGUGACCGCGAGGGUCGGCCUAGGGUGAAACCGGUGAUUGGGGCUAAGUCGUAACAAGGUAACCGUA